UACGUAGGGUCCGAGCGUUGUCCGGAAUUACUGGGCGUAAAGCGCGCGCAGGCGGCCCGCGAGGUGUCACGUGAAAGCCCCGGGCUCAACCCGGGAGGGUCGUGGCAAACCGGCGGGCUUGAGGCCGGUAGAGGUGGGUGGAACUCCUGGUGGAGUGGUGAAAUGCGUAGAGAUCAGGAAGAACACCCGUGGCGAAGGCGGCCCACUGGGCCGGUACUGACGCUGAGACGCGAAAGCGUGGGGAGCGAACAGG
rnacentral:rRNA from 1 species